rnacentral:rRNA from 1 species
AUGAUGGGGCGAAGCUGACGCAGCAACGCCGCGUGGAUGAUGAAGGNCUUCNGAAUGUAAAGUCCUUUUGUAGAGGAAGAAUGACCUGGUUUGGGAGUGGGACGGACUUUCGCGAAUAACCCACGAUUACCCGGGUACCUACGUCCCCGCGGUUCCGGGGGUGGNAAGGGUGGGCGGGUUUUUUGGGAUGAAAGGGGGGCAAGGGCGNAAAAGNAGUNCUGGGGUUAANGCGUGAAAUACACCGGCCCACCCGGUGCGGUGCUUGUUAUUCUGAAGGGCUAAAAAGGAGGAGGGAAUUCCGGGUUACCGGUGAAGGGUGAAAUCU